rfam:Gossypium raimondii Chr02_contig_1478, whole genome shotgun sequence.
UGUUAAAAAAUAUCUAUUUUUACUGUUAAAAACGGACAUGGUUGAUAGAAUAACUAAAUGGUCAUGUACAAGGACCAGUUUUUAACAAUAAAAUUGGAUGAAAUUUUUAAUA